GCUCUCGUAGUCUAAUGGACAGAACACUUCCCUCCGAAGGAAGAGGUGCAGGUUCGAUUCCUGCCGGGAGCA
rnacentral:tRNA from 1 species